rnacentral:tRNA from 1 species
GCAGGUGUCGUAUAAUGGCUAUUACCUCGGCCUUCCAAGCCGAUGACAGGGGUUCGACUCCCCUCACCUGCUCCA